AUUGAACGCUGGCGGCAGGCCUAACACAUGCAAGUCGAACGGUAACAGGAAGAAGCUUGCUUCUUUGCUGACGAGUGGCGGACGGGUGAGUAAUGUCUGGGAAACUGCCUGAUGGAGGGGGAUAACUACUGGAAACGGUAGCUAAUACCGCAUAACGUCGCAAGCCCAAAGAGGGGGACCUUCGGGCCUCUUGCCAUCGGAUGUGCCCAGAUGGGAUUAGCUAGUAGGUGGGGUAACGACUCACCUAGGCGACGAUCCGUAGCUGGUCUGAGAGGAUGACCGGCCACACUGGAACUGAGACACGGUCCAGACUCCUACGGGAGGCAGCAGUGGGGAAUAUUGCGCAAUGGGCGCAAGCCUGAUGCAGCCAUGCCGCGUGUAUGAAGAAGGCCUUCGGGUUGUAAAGUACUUUCAGCGGGGAGGAAGGGAGUAAAGUUAAUACCUGUGCUCAUUGACGUUACCCGGAGAAGAAGCACCGGCUAACUACGUG
rnacentral:rRNA from 1 species